AUGAAACAAUGUCCUACCACUAGAUCUCAUCCAUCCAUCCAUGCCCCAUCAACACACACUCUCUCUCUCUCUCUCUCUCUCUCUCUCUCUCUCACACACACACACACACACACACACACACACACACACACCAAAACACAGCUACAACUAAAUCCCACGGCCGCAACGGUUCCACACACCACCACCCAAACAUCUCGCCCAAAGUUGUCGUAUGGUAAUUCGAGGUGGAAAUCUAGAUUAGCUCUCCUUGAUUUCAUGGUGGAUCAAUCGAAACAAAGUAUUUCGAAUAGCUCAACGAAAUACCAAAUGAUUGUUUUUCAUAGGACUAGGAAGCACGGGGAAGUCUGUAUCAUCAAGGACAUACAAAGCAUGUGGAACAUAAACAUGUACUCAUGCGAAAAAUAA
rnacentral:rRNA from 1 species